AUUGAACGCUGGCGGCAGGCCUAACACAUGCAAGUCGAACGGGGGGCGGACGUGUGAGUAAUGUCUGAGAAACUGCCCGGUGGAGGGGGAUAACUACGAGAAACGGUCUCUAAUACCGCAUACCCUCGUAUGUGCCCAUAUGGGAUUAGCUAGGAGGUGGGGUAACGGCUCACCUAGGCGACGAUCCCUAGCUGGUCUGAGAGGAUGACCAGCCACACUGGGACUGAGACACGGUCCAGACUCCUACGGGAGGCAGCAGUGGGGAAUAUUGCACAAUGGGCGCAAGCCUGAUGCAGCCAUGCCGCGUGUAUGAAGAAGGCCUUCGGGUUGUAAAGCACUUUCAGCGAGGAGGCGUUACCCGCAGAAGAAGCACCGGCUAACUCCGUGCCAGCAGCCGCGGUAAUUC
rnacentral:rRNA from 1 species